GACGGAGGGGGCUAGCGUUGUUCGGAAUGACUGGGCGUAAAGGGCGCGUAGGCUGGUUUUUUAAGUGAGGCGUGAAAGCCCUGGGCUUAACCCCAGGAACUGCGUUUCAGACUGAAAGACUUGAGUACGAGAGAGGUAAGUGGAAUUCCUAGUGUAGAGGGUGAAAAUUCGUAGAUAUUAGGAAGAACACCAGUGGCGAAGGCGGCUUACUGGCUCGGUAACUGACGCUGAGGCGCGAAAGCGUGGGGAGCAACAGG
rnacentral:rRNA from 1 species